ACCCGCUGAAAUUUAAGCAUAUCAAUAAGCGGAGGAAAAGAAACCAACAGGGAUUGCCCCAGUAACGGCGAGUGAAGCGGCAAGAGCUCAAAUUUGAAAGCUGGCUCCUUCGGGGUCCGCAUUGUAAUUUGCAGAGGAUGCUUCGGGAGCGGUCCCCAUCUAAGUGCCCUGGAACGGGACGUCAUAGAGGGUGAGAAUCCCGUAUGGGAUGGGGUGUCCGCGCCCGUGUGAAGCUCCUUCGACGAGUCGAGUUGUUUGGGAAUGCAGCUCUAAAUGGGUGGUAAAUUUCAUCUAAAGCUAAAUAUUGGCCGGAGACCGAUAGCGCACAAGUAGAGUGAUCGAAAGAUGAAAAGCACUUUGAAAAGAGAGUUAAAAAGCACGUGAAAUUGUUGAAAGGGAAGCGCUUGCGACCAGACUCGCUCGCGGGGUUCAGCCGGCACUCGUGCCGGUGUACUUCCCCGCGGGCGGGCCAGCGUCGGUUUGGGCGGUCGGUCAAAGGCCCUCGGAAGGUAACGCCCCUCGGGGCGUCUUAUAGCCGAGGGUGCAAUGCGACCUGCCCAGACCGAGGAACGCGCUUCGGCUCGGACGCUGGCAUAAUGGUCGUAAGCGACCCGUCUUGAAACACGGACCAAGGAGA
rnacentral:rRNA from 1 species